rnacentral:rRNA from 1 species
AUUAACGCUGGCAGAGUGCAUAACACAUGCAAGUCGAGCGAGACUGGUCGCAAGAUCAGUCUAGCGGCAGACGAGUGAGUAACACGUAAGGAAUCUACCCUUGAAUGGCGAAUAACCAAUCGAAAGGCUGGCUAAUACGCCGUACUCUCCCUUGAAGGCAUCUUCGAGGGAGGAGAGAUCAGCAAUGAUCGUUCUUGGAGGACUUUGCGGCCCAUCAGCUAGUUGGCGGUGUAAUAGACCACCAAGGCUACGACGGGUACCCGGCCUGAAAGGGCGGACGGGCAAGAUGGAACUGAGACACGGGCCAUACUCCUACGGGAGGCAGCAGUGGGGAAGUGUGGACAAUGGGCGAAAGCCUGAUCCAGCAACGCUGCGUGAGGGACGAAGGUCUUCGGAUCGUAAACCUCUUGUACAUGGGAAGAAUACCCGCAAGGGUUCGACGGUACCAUGUGAAUAAGCCACGGCUAACUAUGU